AGUGAACGCUGGCGGCGUGCUUAACACAUGCAAGUCGAACGAGAACGGGUUAUAGCUUGCUAUAAUUGUCAGCUAAGUGGCGCACGGGUGAGUAAUGUAUAGGUAAUAUGCCUCUUACUAAGGGAUAACAAAUGGAAACGUUUGCUAAUACCUUAUACUCCUUAUUCACAUCAGUUAAUAAGGGAAAGAUUUAUUGGUGAGGGAUUAGCCUGUAUUGUAUCAGUUAGUUGGUGGGGUAAUGGCUUACCAAGACUAUAACACAUAACUGGUGUGAGAGGAUGAUCAGUCACACUGGAACUGAGACACGGUCCAGACUCCUACGGGAGGCAGCAGUGGGGAAUAUUGCACAAUGGACGAAAGUCUGAUGCAGCAACGCCGCGUGGAGGAUGACACAUUUCGGUGCGUAAACUCCUUUUAUAUGAGAAGAUAAUGACGGUAUUAUAUGAAUAAGCACCGGCUAACUCCGUGCCAGCCGCCGCAGUAAGAC
rnacentral:rRNA from 1 species